GAUGAACGCUGACGGCGUGCCUAAUACAUGCAAGUCGAGCGAACGGACGAGAAGCUUGCUUCUCUGAUGUUAGCGGCGGACGGGUGAGUAACACGUGGAUAACCUACCUAUAAGACUGGGAUAACUUCGGGAAACCGGAGCUAAUACCGGAUAAUAUUUUGAACCGCAUGGUUCAAAAGUGAAAGACGGUCUUGCUGUCACUUAUAGAUGGAUCCGCGCUGCAUUAGCUAGUUGGUAAGGUAACGGCUUACCAAGGCAACGAUGCAUAGCCGACCUGAGAGGGUGAUCGGCCACACUGGAACUGAGACACGGUCCAGACUCCUACGGGAGGCAGCAGUAGGGAAUCUUCCGCAAUGGGCGAAAGCCUGGCGGAGCAACGCCGCGUGAGUGAUGAAGGUCUUCGGAUCGUAAAACUCUGUUAUUAGGGAAGAACAUAUGUGUAAGUAACUGUGCACAUCUUGACGGUACCUAAUCAGAAAGCCACGGCUAACUACGUG
rnacentral:rRNA from 1 species